UGUCGGUGGGUGUACAAGUGAAGUUCUACGGACUAUUAUUUGCGGUCGACGGAGUGUCGGCAGGAGAUCAUGCAUGGCACAUGAAUUGGCUUUGGAGCCACCCGUAUCCUUAUUAUAUGAUGUUGUUCUUUUCUGCUUUUGCUUUACUCUUAUUGUGUAAUUGUUGCUACAUGAGUUUACGCUUUCGCCCCUGUUUACUUACUAAGCAUAUAGCUUACCCCAUUCCUUUUGUUUUCCUUAGCAGGGGCCGACGCGGGGACUUUUGGCUCGUAUACUAGUAUAGUUAGUUUGGCUUGUAAUAGUUGAACAGUUAGGAUGUUUGUUUUUGUUUUGGUGGUUUGACUCGAUACUUUUGGAGAAUGUAAUUAUAACUCUUUUGGGAUGGUAUAUAUUGUAUUUAGUGCUCUUUCGAACUU
rnacentral:lncRNA from 1 species